UGUUGCUGCUGAUUAAAACUUAACUUAUUAUUAUUUAGUGAUGAAGAACCACUACCACUCGAGUGUUUAUUGCUUUCCGUUGGUAAGCUGUUGACGGCCACCUUGAAAUAUUGGAAUAAUGAGGAUUGUUUUUCGGGCAUGAAGUACUCCAGCGGAAAUUUCACACUAGUGUACGAUUAAACGAAAAAUUUCUAUUGCCCCCUGCACUUUUUCAGUCUCACAUUAAAGCGAAACUGCUAAAGGCUAGAGAAGGCGUUGCUGUCUUUUCCCAAGAUACUUAAACGCUGAUUUGCUAAUUACCUUAUUCGGGUGGUGGCUACUAUUCGCCUCACUACGUCUCAUUGACUCCAUGCAGACGAAAACGGGAGGGCUGCCGCUUGUAGCGGGCCCACAAUACGCAGCACUUCGUCGUUUAGAAUGAGUUCAAUAUUAUUUGAUUUCAAUUUCGACACAAAUGAUUCUACACC